AAUUAGAAAGCGAAUAUUUGCAUUUAGUUUCGACCUAAAAAUUUGGCCUGGCCUCUAAUUU
rnacentral:tRNA from 2 species